rnacentral:rRNA from 1 species
UUCUUAAAGAGACGAGGCAUGGCCAUAAACCCGAAAAAAUGCACGUCAAUAACAGCCACAACCCAUCAUGGCAACAAGAGGUCGUCCGUCAUCGAGAAGUCAUUGUACAGCAUCGGCGGCUCAAAGAUUCCCACGAACAACGGCCUGUCGGCGUUUCGGUACUUAGGACACAUGUACGGUACUUCUGGAGUCAAAAAACCAUCACUGUGCAACCUGCAGGCUUGGAUAGCGAGACUGCACCGGGCCCCCCUCAAACCAGACCAAAAACUGCCUAUCCUGAAGGAUCAUUUAAUCCCCAAGGUCUUGUACGGCCUUCAAUCAACGCAGAUGACCGGGGAGAUCCUGAAGGAAGCGGACAGGAUGAUCAAAAGCGCCACGAAGAGGUUUUUACACCUUCACAAUCACGUGCCGGACGCUAUCCUGUUCGCUAGAGUCAGAGACGGGGGUCUGGGCAUAACGGAGCUGCGUUCCGCCAUUCCUAAUCAGCUGCUGGGAAGAAUGCAGCGUCUGCUAUCCAGGACCGAGGACGAGGUGGUCAGCAUGGUGUUACAGACUGAGAGACUAGGCAAAAUAUUUGCAAAACUGCAGGCCAUGUGCGCGAGUCAUUGGGAAUUACUAAACCUAAAGGCGCAAUGAAAGUAAAAGUUCGUCUCGCACGGACCGAGGGAAGAUGGGCGGUCCUUAGUGGCCGCUCCGCAUUCCCGGGGCGUCUCGUUCUCAUCGCGAGAAGAGGCGCACCAAGAGCGUACACGCUGGGACCCGAAAGAUGGUGAACUAUGCCUGGUCAGGACGAAGUCAGGGGAAACCCUGAUGGAGGUCCGUAGCGAUUCUGACGUGCAAAUCGAUCGUCGGAACUGGGUAUAGGGGCGAAAGACUAAUCGAACCAUCUAGUAGCUGGUUCCCUCCGAAGUUUCCCUCAGGAUAGCUGGCGCUCGUUGCGUACGAGUCUCAUCCGGUAAAGCGAAUGAUUAGAGGCAUUGGGGUCGAAACGACCUCAACCUAUUCUCAAACUUUAAAUGGGUGAGAUCUCCGGCUUGCUUAAAUGUUGAAGCCGCGAGAUUUCGGAUCAGAGUGCCAAGUGGGCCAUUUUUGGUAAGCAGAACUGGCGCUGUGGGAUGAACCAAACGUCGAGUUAAAGCGCCUAAAUCGACGCUUAUGGGAUACCAUGAAAGGCGUUGGUAACUUAAGACAGCAGGACGGUGGCCAUGGAAGUCGGAAUCCGCCAAGGAGUGUGUAACAACUCACCUGCCGAAGUUACUAGCCCUGAAAAUGGAUGGCGCUGAAGCGUCGUGCUUAUACUCGACCGUCAGCGGCAUGUGCGAAAAAUAGCAAUAUUUUUCAUGAAGCUCUGACGAGUAGGAGGGUCGCGGCGGUGAGCGCAGAAGGGCUGACCGCGAGGUCGUCUGGAGCCGCCGUCGGUGCAGAUCUUGGUGGUAGUAGCAAAUACUCCAGCGAGGCCCUGGAGGACUGACGUGGAGAAGGGUUUCGUGUGAACAGCCGUUGCACACGAGUCAGUCGAUCCUAAGCCCUAGGCGAAAGCCGAUGUCGAUGUGGUGUACGUUUAUUAAGUUACGUCUAACGUAAAUACUUAGCGAACACACCCGUCGGGCGAAAGGGAAUCCGGUUCCUAUUCCGGAACCUGGCAGCGGAACCGUCAAUAAGUCGGGCCCUCGCAAGAGAGUUCGUCGGGGUAACCCAAAAGGACCCGGAGACGCCGUCGGGAGAUCCGGGAAGAGUUUUCUUUUCUGCAUGAGCGUUCGAGUUCCAUGGAAUCCUCUAGCAGGGAGAUAUGGUUUGGAACGCGAAGAGCACCGCAGUUGCCGCGGUGUCCGGUUCUUCCCCUCGGACCUUGAAAAUCCGGGAGAGGGCCACGUGGAGGCGUCGCGCCAGUUCGUACCCAUAUCCGCAGCAGGUCUCCAAGGUGAAGAGCCUCUAGUCGAUAGAAUAAUGUAGGUAAGGGAAGUCGGCAAAUUGGAUCCGUAACUUCGGGAUAAGGAUUGGCUCUGAGGAUCGGGGCGUGUCGGGCUUGGCGAGGAAGCGGGUACUGGCUAAUGUGCCAGGCCUGGGCGAGGUGCAAGUUUUUGCGAACCGAAUCCGAGCUCGGUCCUGAGCCUUGGCCUCCCGCGGAACCGCUUUGCUGCGAGGCCCGUUUGCGUAGCGUUUCACGACGUUACGCUUCGGUGUCCUCUUCGGCCGCUAUUUAACGGUCAGCUCAGAACUGGCACGGACCGGGGGAAUCCGACUGUCUAAUUAAAACAAAGCAUUGCGAUGGUCUUAACUUGAUGUUGACGCAAUGUGAUUUCUGCCCAGUGCUCUGAAUGUCAAAGUGAAGAAAUUCAAUCAAGCGCGGGUAAACGGCGGGAGUAACUAUGACUCUCUUAAGGUAGCCAAAUGCCUCGUCAUCUAAUUAGUGACGCGCAUGAAUGGAUUAACGAGAUUCCCACUGUCCCUACCCNUCGCAUAUGGGAAAGGAAGCGCGUUUAAAGGAAUACCAUCGACGUAAUUUAUUGUAGAAUGACGGAUAAAAAAUACAAUUAUUAUUGAUGCAAAUAGGGAAAAAAAUAUAAAAUUGUGAUUAAAGAUGUAUCGAUUAAUACGUGUAAUUCUUCAAAUGUAUUGGUGAGGCACUGCCUCAUCUGCCUCAUAGGACAAGCCGCCCCUGAUGUAUUGUAAAAUUUACUGGUAAUAAAUAAAUAAAUAAAUAAAAUAUGGAGUAAAGAGAUCUUCAAAAAAUUUUUCUUUGGAAAUAAAAGGUAAACUUUAAAAUAAAUGACAAGAGUGUCAUAAAAAUAAAUGAC